rnacentral:rRNA from 1 species
UACGUAGGUGGCAAGCGUUGGCCGGAUUUACGGGGUGUAAAGGGCUUGUCGGCGGGAUAGCAAGUCAGAUGUGAAAUUACGGGGCUUAACACCGGCGCUGCAUCUGAAACUGUUAUUCUUGAGUGUCGGAGAGGAAAGUUUAAUUCCCAGUGUAGCGGUGAAAUGCGUAGAGAUGGGGAGGAACACCAGUGGUGAAGGCGGCUUUCUGGAAGAUAUAUGCCGCUGAGGCGCGAAAGCGUGGGGAGCAAAAAGG